CCCGCUGAACUUAAGCAUAUUACUAAGCGGAGGAGAAGAAAUUAACUAAGAUUGCCUUAGUAAGGGCGACUGAACCGGCAAAAGCUCGAAAUUAAAAUCGGGAAUGCAAUGUGAUUUUCGAAUUGUAAUCAGGGUUGCCAAAAUACGGGAGGUCUCUCAAGAGUCUCGAAAGGCUCGCCAAAGAGGGAGAAAGCCCCGUGCAGGGAUCUCUCGAACAAGGUAAUUCGACGAAGAGUCGUGUUGCUUGGAACUGCAGCACUAAGUGGGAGAUAUGAUUCUUCCAAAGCUAAAUAUGGAUGGGAGACCGAUAGCGAACAAGUACUGUGAAGGAAAGAUGAAAAGGACUUUGAAAAGAGAGUGAAAAGAUCUGAAAUCGUUGAGAAGUAAGCGGUUAAAACUGAUCUGGGAUUAUGAUGGCGCAACGCGGACGAAAGUCGUGGAGCGUCUACCAAAAAUCCUUAACAAAAUGAGUCUCUUCGUGCCAAAAUAGGCGCAAGCCGUGUAGGGUAUGAAGGGACUGAGGGGCUACGGCGAUUUUGUUUAUAGGUUUUAACCGUCCCGUCUUGAAACACGG
rnacentral:rRNA from 1 species